CCUCUCUUCCCUUCCUUUCAACUCCUUCCUCUCUUCCCUUCCUCUCAAACGAUGAGUCAAUGAAAUCAUCACAGAAAUCUCUUCAAUCGUUAACCUGUGUAAGUUCAUCGAUCUUUUCAAUAACUUUUCGAUUUAUAGGGUUUCUAAGUUUUUCAAUCGUCUGGUUUUUAGGGUUUCGAUUUGUUUCAAAUACGAUUUUGUUGAUCCGUGAAUCUGAUACGAUUUGUUUCAUCUUAGUUUCGAUUUGUUAAUCUUCUUCAAUUAAAUUUAAUUCGAUUUUUUUUUCUGAUUUCAUGUUAGGGUUUGAAGAACUGAUUGUUAAUCCAACUUAAAAGUUGGGUCAUUCUUAAGUGUGAAGGGUGGGAAAGUAAGGGGUGUGAACUUGGGUAAUUGUUUGGUUGUUGAGAGAUGGAUGAAACCUGAACUAUUUGAUGGCAUUUCCAAUCCAGAUAUGCUCAUGGAGCAAAGGUUCGUUUCAGAUCUCUGAAGUUAAAUAAGUAUAUAAGUGCAAAAAAUGGAGGAGGUUCAGGUGUCUUUGUGGACCAAGAAAAAGCCAUUGAUUGGGAAACCUUCAGAGGGCCUCUGUCACUGCAACAUCCAGAUCACCGUCAAAGACGGAAACAUUUACUAUUGAAAGAGGGGAGGACAAUAAAGUUCGUUAAGUGUAAUUGAUUUAGCUUAGGGAAAUGUAGAUGAUGAAACCAAUCAUGUUAUAACUAAUCAUGGAUGGUGUUGUUCUUGGGACGGGUACAAGGGCAACAGAAGGAUUCAUUGUUUGUGACAAGAACUGUGAAAAGAUUCAUUACAUGGCACCUAAUAUUUAUUAAUGUGGAACAGGAACUGUUGCGGAUACAGAAGCAGUCACAAGUAUAUUUUCUCAUUUUACUCUUUUGUAGGCCGAGGUUGUUGGUUAUUUAUGGAUAAACAAUGUUUUCGUUAUACAGUUUAUACGUAUGAAAGUGAACAACAAAUAUUUUUAUUUUUAUAUAGACAUGGUCAGCUCCCAGCUUAACCUACACUGUUAUGUAAGUGGUUGUCAAUCAAGGGUUGUUAAAGCUCUUACACUUUUGAAGACUCACCUUUUCAGGUGUAUUUGUCUUUUGCACUCAGAUGUAUUUGCAUAGUUCGAAAGAAUCUGGAUAACUGGAGGUUGUUGCACUAUUUAACAGGAAGUUGUUGUACUCAAAUACUGUCACUGCUAUCUCCUUUAGUUUCUUCGUUAUAUGUGUUCCGUUUGUAACUGGAAGUUGUUUUUUGUAGAUCUACCCACAUGGUUCAACUGAUAGUCUUCCUUAUGUCACAAUGGGUUCUGGUUCUCUUGCUGUUAUGGCCAUGUUCGCAUCACAGUACAGAGAGGGCAUGACUGGAAGUUGUCACACUAUUUGGGUUAUGUUACUCAAUUAGAUAAUUGUGAUAACUUGUUAGUGUGUAGUUACACGAUUUACCUUUUAUGCUUCUUUUGUUGGACCAUUGGGAAACUUCAGCCAUUAGUCUUGAGUUAUGCAUUUAGGAAAAUUCAUUUUCCCUUAGUUGUUAUUGUUGCUUCUCUUUUUUCCUUGUUCAGAUCUUCUUCUUUGUGUUUUUGAGUCUUAGUCUAGAGAGAUUAUGUCAAACUUGUUGGAACUGUUACGUUUUUCUAUCAGUCUGUACCGUCUUGGUCGAAUCUUCAAAAGAUAAAGACGAUUGAAUAACUUCGUCAAGUUAAUUAAUUUGAGCAUGUUCUUUUAGGAACCAUCUCAUUGUUACCAUGUCACAAUCAUCUUAGAUAUAAAGAUGAUGAACUGGAUUCAGAUUUUGUGUGCAGUGUUUGUUAUGUUUUGAAGAUCUCAUGUUAUAGUGUCGCUUUCCAUCAUAGUUGAGAUAACUUAGGUUUCUCAGGACCUGUAAAGUGAUGGAGGAAUAAUUAAGCUCAUUCCAUUCGGAUGAUCCACCUCAGUAGUUAUCCAUGGCUGUAAGUUUCUGUUGUAUGUGAAGAGAAUCGGAUGGAGAAGAGAAAAAUGUUGAUAACCAGCUUGGUUUCUCCUCAGUCCUCAUUUAUCUGGAUCGCUCAUGCCUAAACAAUUAUUGAUGUAGCGGCUUGUUUGUACUGCUGGAGAGAUUCCAUAAACUGUUCGAUUUUGCAAUUUUGUUGGUCUGUUCUCUUUUUUCUUCUUCUAUUAUCUCAACUCACAUUCUCAAUGUUGUCAUUCACUUGAAACUCUAAUAGUCUCAGGUAGUUACAGUUGCUUUUCCACAUGUAUGUUGAAACUUUAUGUUUGGGCCGGCAGUUUAUUAUCUGUUUGAUGUAUUUGUGAACCUCAUCUACCAAAUAACCAGACAUCGUCGACUAAGCACAUCAGUGACUUCAUGUGUGUAACUUUUUGUUAAUUCAUUGUGAAUACAUAGUUGUUUUUCUUGGUCCAGCUAUUAACUCUUUGCAGUUCCUCCAUUUUCUUAUCGCAGGUAUCUUUGUCCCCUGGGAAGCUGCAAGAAGAUCAAUGGUUAUCAUGGUGACUGUUCGUCAGUUUCGAUACACUAAAUUGAGAUUCGGAGCAGCUCCGGCCAAUGUUAUAAUAAAUUUUUUUGCAGCCAUUGCUCAAUGCAACGUGGGUGGAUUACACUAGGAAAAAUGAUGUUGUUCACCUUCUGUGGCUCUAUGGAGUUGAUUCAUUCAGGUGAAUAGCUGAAUAAGGAGCAACAACAGUGACAACAAAUUCUUGCACCGCAGCAACAUCAGCGUCACUUGCAGUUGCAACCUCAGCAUUCUUCACUAUAGACACAUUCGUGGAGCCAAAUCAGUUACCAGAAGCAGGUUAUUUGAAUGAUGCUUUAUUUGAUCAGAAUGGGUUGAGAACAAAGCAACUUCAAGUUUUAUAAGUUUCAUGUAUUCAAGUUUUGUAAGUUUUGUUGGAAGUUAGUAAGUUUGUAUGUGUUUCCUUAGAAAUUUGGAACCUUCCAUGUAUUCCCUUAGAAAUUUGAU